GUCGAGCGAGCGGAACCACAGAUUUACUUCGGUAAUGACGUUGGGAAAGCGAGCGGCGGAUGGGUGAGUAACACGUGGGGAACCUGCCCCUAAGUCUGGGAUACCAUUUGGAAACAGGUGCUAAUACCGGAUAAUAAAGCGGAUCGCAUGAUCAGCUUUUGAAAGGCGGCGUAAGCUGUCGCUAAGGGAUGGCCCCGCGGUGCAUUAGCUAGUUGGUAAGGUAACGGCUUACCAAGGCGACGAUGCAUAGCCGAGUUGAGAGACUGAUCGGCCACAUUGGGACUGAGACACGGCCCAAACUCCUAUGGGAGGCAGCAGUAGGGAAUCUUCCACAAUGGACGCAAGUCUGAUGGAGCAACGCCGCGUGAGUGAAGAAGGUUUUCGGAUCGUAAAGCUCUGUUGUUGGUGAAGAAGGAUAGAGGUAGUAACUGGCCUUUAUUUGACGGUAAUCAACCAGAAAGUCACGGCUAACUACGUGCCAGCAGCCGCGGUAAUACGUAGGUGGCAAGCGUUGUCCGGAUUUAUUGGGCGUAAAGCGAGCGCAGGCGGAAAAAUAAGUCUAAUGUGAAAGCCCUCGGCUUAACCGAGGAACUGCAUCGGAAACUGUUUUUCUUGAGUGCAGAAGAGGAGAGUGGAACUCCAUGUGUAGCGGUGGAAUGCGUAGAUAUAUGGAAGAACACCAGUGGCGAAGGCGGCUCUCUGGUCUGCAACUGACGCUGAGGCUCGAAAGCAUGGGUAGCGAACAGGAUUAGAUACCCUGGUAGUCCAUGCCGUANACGAUGAGUGCUAAGUGUUGGGAGGUUUCCGCCUCUCAGUGCUGCAGCUAACGCAUU
rnacentral:rRNA from 1 species